GACGAACGCUGACGGCGUGCUUAACACAUGCAAGUCGAAGGGAGUGGCGAACGGGUGAGUAACACGUGAGUAACCUGCCCUUUUCUUUGGGAUAAGCCUGGGAAACUGGGUUUAAUACUGGAUGGGAUGGGAUGGGCUCGCGGCUUAUCAGCUUGUUGGUGGGGUGAUGGCUUACCAAGGCUUUGACGGGUAGCCGGCCUGAGCGGGGGGACGGUCACGCUGGGACGGAGCUACGGCCCAGGCUCCGACGCGAGGGAGCAGUGGGGGAUAUUGCACAAUGGACGAAAGUCUGAUGCAGCGACGUCGUGUGGGGCAUGAGGGCCUUCGGGUUGUAAGCUCCUUUCGCCCGCGGAAUGGUAGUGGGUAAAGAAGCGCCGGCUAACUACGUGCCAGCAGCCGCGGUAAUAC
rnacentral:rRNA from 1 species